GGGAAGAGAAAGACGGUACCCCAGGAAUAAGCCCGGCCUAACAACGCGCCAGCAGCCCCGGUAAAACGUAGGGGUCAAGCGUUAUCCGGAUUUACUGGGCGUAGAGCGCGUGUAGNCGGCUGCUUAAGUCGGACGUGAAAGCUCCUGGCUCAACUAGGAGAGGCCGUUCGAAACUAGGUAGCUUGAGGAUGGUAGAGGAGAGUGGAGUUCCCGGUGUAGUGGUGAAAUGCGUAGAUAUCGGGAGGAACACCAGUGGCGAAGGCGGCUCUCUGGGCCAUUCCUGACGCUGAGAUGCGAAAGCUAGGGGAGAGAACGGGAUUAGAAACCCCGGUAUUCCUAGCCGUAAACGAUGUCAACUAGGUGUAGGAGGUCAUUGACCCCUCCUGUGCUGUAGCUAACGCGUUAAGUUGACCGCCUGGGGACUACGGCCGCAAGGCUAAAACUCAAAGGAAUUGACGGGGACCCGCACAAGCAGCGGAGCGUGUGGUUUAAUUCGAGGCUACGCGAAGAACCUUACCAGGGCUUGACAUAUGCGUGGUAGGAAAUCGAAAGAGGACCAACCCUUCGGGGAGCGCAUACAGGUGCUGCAUGGCUGUCGUCAGCUCGUGCCGUGAGGUGUUAGGUUAAGUCCUGUAACGAGCGCAACCCUCGUCGUUAGUUACAUGUGUCUAGCGAGACUGCCGGUGAUAAGCCGGAGGAAGGUGAGGAUGACGUCAAGUCAGCAUGGCCUUUAUGUCCUGGGCUACACACACGCUACAAUGGCCAGUACAAUGGGUAGCCAAACCGCGAGGUGGAGCCAAUCCCGUAAAGCUGGUCUCAGUUCGGAUUGCAGUCUGCAACUCGACUGCAUGAAGUCGGAGUUGCUAGUAAACGCGCGUCAGCCACAGUGCGUUGAAUACGUUCCCGGGUCUUGUACACACCGCCCGUCACGUCAUGGAAGUUGGCAACGCCUGAAGUCGGUGAGCUAACCCUCACGGGAGCAGCCGCCUAAGGCGGGGUCGGUAACUGGGACGAAGUCGUCACAAG
rnacentral:rRNA from 1 species